CCAUCCUCCAAGGCUAAAUACUCCUGACUGACCGAUAGUGAACCAGUACCGUGAGGGAAAGGCGAAAAGAACCCCGGCGAGGGGAGUGAAAAAGAACCUGAAACCGUGUACGUACAAGCAGUGGGAGCACCUUCGGGUGUGACUGCGUACCUUUUGUAUAAUGGGUCAGCGACUUAUAUUCUGUAGCAAGGUUAACCGUAUAGGGGAGCCGCAGGGAAACCGAGUCUUAACUGGGCGUUAAGUUGCAGGGUAUAGACCCGAAACCCGGUGAUCUAGCCAUGGGCAGGUU
rnacentral:rRNA from 1 species